GAGGGUGUAGCUCAGUGGUAGAAUGCGUGCCUAGCAUGCAUGAGGUCCUGGGUUCAAUCCCCAGUACCUCCA
rnacentral:tRNA from 1 species